ensembl:lncRNA
GAGACAGUACAGCAGCUGAGAGCCUAUUACCUGUUGGCAGACAAGGCAGGAUACUUUGAUCAGACUCCCACUGGCUUAUGCCACCAGUGUGUGUAGGAACACGAGGUGAACUGAGAGCUUUUUCCCAAGAGCUAUUUUGUCAGAAGCUAGCUACUGAAGAAAUAUCUGAAAAUGUGUUGCUUUCUUAUUAGAUUAUGGGAUCUAAUUAAACAGAUUUUAUUCCAUCUGAUAAUGACAGAGAGCUUUUCUUUUUCACUGAAUUCCUUUUCAAGAUCUGUGAGCAGUAGUAAAAAAAUAAUUAUAGAAGAAAACUGAUGGAAUUGGGUAUGCUAUAUUUAAUAAUAGAAAUGUUAUUCUGAUUUGGGGUGACUUCAGGGAGCAAAUCCACUUCUGCUGGUGUAAUCCAUGGCUUUGGUCUACCUAGAUUCCCCUGAAAAUGCUUUGACUUUUUUCCUAACAGUCAAUCUUCACCACUACUACUUAUUACUACUUAUUUCCUGCUUAUUUCAGUUGCCUCUGCUUAUCAGUCAGCCAUGGUCUUUUACUUUGAGACACCAGAUUUUGCUAGCUUGCUUCAAAGAUAUUUUUGGGGUGAUUUCUUUGGUUUCUUUGCCUUUUUUAUAUCUAUUUCUCUCUUAAAGUCUCUAUAAAAUUCAUCAUUUAAAAUAACAAAUAAAUCUUUAUGACUUACAUGUUUUCUUCUCCUUCCACUCUCCCUUGCUUUGUUUUGUUUUGACUUAUAAUGAUCUGAGUUUUGUAAUUGAGUUGUUUCUCUUUUUUAAAACAUAAGAGGUGGGUUUUAUUUUGUUGUCGUCUCAUUCUUUCAGACUUCUCAGAAUUCAUUCAUUUCCUCUAAGACACUCUAAUCUUGCUCUAAUGCUUAGCGUGCAGAUACUACAAUGAGAUUAUUUUGUGUAUGUUCUUAUAUUUAUAGGGCCUGUAUUAUCACAGGAAGCAACCAUCAACAUUGUCCAGAGAUUUCGAUAAAAAGCCCAUGCUUCUGCACAAAGAUUGUCUCAUGAAUCAGAGGAUCAUGUCCUUUGCAUGUAUGAUAUGGUUCUUAGAACAGUUAUAUAGCAAAAAGAAAACAGGAUUUGACUAUAGGGAUAAGAAGAAAAAAAGACAAUGAGGAGAGGAACCACACAUCAUGAGAUGCCCAACUGGACCUUCCUUUAAGGAGAUUGAGAGCUAUUCUAAGAGCUAUUUACAGACCUCUACUCUGGUUUUCUUAAUAAAGACACUGACCACCUUGCUUUCCAGUUCCUGCCCAGUUUGGGAUUAUUAAAUCACAAAAGUAUGUCCUUCUCCUGCUGGUAGCCACAGCGGUCGGCUCUUCUCCUGGUCACUUCCCUGCCUCAAGCUGCUGCUCUAGUGGCUGCUCUAGCCAGCUGUCCUACUCCUGCUCCUGCCUCUUGCUAUAGCAGCCCCAGUACUGCUGCCUCAUCUGGAUGACAGUUGUCACUCUGCUAUCAAUGUCUCCCACUUCAGCAAAGAGUAUGUGGCUGUGCAUGUGCACGUUUGUACUCAAGUACACUCCUGCUUUUUCAACUUGGAUUCUCAUCUAGCAGUAGCCCCUUAAAGUCUGCUAUGCAUUUUCUUUUGACUUCUGUGCUUUACUUCUGUAAAACCUACUGAGAUCUUUUACUAUCAGCAUUCUUAACUCAAGCACUUAAUCCAUACCAUUACAUGGUUAUCUGUUUCCUCCAUUAUGUGGAUGGUUACUCUACUCUACUCAAGUAGAAAGCCUUCUGAAUGAAUAAACGCUUACGUGCAAAUUAAACUUGUACUUCUGUACCUUGUUCCUUUCUACCUGUCUUAUUCUCUCCACCAAAUAUCAAUGGAGAGCUCUUCAUCUCAGAACUUCCAUCUCCCACACAGGAGCCAGGGAGCUGCUCUCUCAAUCACGUCCUGGUGCCAAAGCCCAUAUCUGUUUGACAGAACAAAAAGUGGUCUUGUCAUAUGCUAGGGAUGUAUUCUCUGUUCUCUUCAGUACACUGCUAAUUGUUAAAAACCUUGAAGAAAAUUGUAAUAAUUCAGAUGUAAGUUUUGCUCAUAUUACUGUUCUCAGAGAGAGCAAAAAAGUAAAAUUUCAAGGGAAAGGGGUGUUUGGGAUAAAAAACUGCGAUUUUCAAGACCCAUGUUUCUGAAAAAUGUAUUUCUUCUGUCAGAGUUCUAGGACUUAAGAUGAAAGAUCGUUACUAACUAGGAUAAGUGCCUUUUUAUAUAAAGAAAUGUUUUUAGAGUAACUAGAAGAUAACAGCAAAAAUAAAACAGGAGUGUACCUAUUGACUUAAGUUGUAUAGCUUGCUCAUGGGAAAGGGCUCCUUUAGUCUGUGAAACCUACAUUUCAUGUUUCUAUAGCAGAAUCAGAGGACAGAAAAGAAGAAACUAGGAGCAGCAGAAGAGUCAAGAAUCCUACAGUCACAUCUUGGGUUGAAAGGGACCUUAAAACCCAUCUAGUUCCAACCCAUUGCUAUGGGCAGGGUUGCCUCCCUCUAGAUCAGGUUGCCCAGGGUCUAGUUCAAUCUGGCCUUGAGCACCUCCAAGGAUGAGGCAUCCUCAGCUUCUCUGGGUAGCCUGUGCCAGUGCCUCACCACCCUUACCACGAAGGAUUUCUUCCUUAUAUCUAAUCUAAAUAUACCCUUUCAGUGUAAAACCAUUACCCCUUGUCCUAUCACUACAUCAUGGUUGUCAGGGUAUUCAUAAUUGUGGAAAA